UGUCAUCUGGACACUCUGAUGGCU
rnacentral:siRNA from 1 species